rnacentral:misc_RNA from 1 species
UACGGAGGGGACUAGCGUUGUUCGGAAUUACUGGGCGUAAAGUGCGCGUAGGCGGCCUAUUAAGUCAGGGGUGAAAUCCCGGGGCUCAACCCCGGAACUGCCCUUGAUACUGGUAGUCUGGAGUUCUGGAGAGGUGAGUGGAAUUCCGAGGGUAGAGGGGAAAUUCGUAGAUAUUCGGGGGAACACCAGGGGCGAAGGCGGCUCACUGGCCAGAUACUGACCCUGAGGUUCGAAAGUGUGGGGAGCAAACAGG